UACCUCUAUGAUAUGGGGGCAGCUGCACCCUCAAUGGAAAAUGAAGUAUUAGCUAAUUUGCCAACACAUAUCAGCCAUCCAGGUCUAUUUGAUGUUGUUGCAAACAUGAAGAACCUUCGAUGGAUAAUGUUGAGAUUAAGCCAGCAAAAAAAACUCUGGGAAGGGUGUAAGCAUCUACCAAAUUUGAAAAUUCUUGAUCUUACGAGAUCAUCAAACCUAAUCACCACACCAGAUUUUGACGGCCUUCCAUGUCUUGAAAGAUUGAUUUUAGUGGAUUGUAAGAGUUUAGAAGAGAUUCAUCAAUCA
rnacentral:lncRNA from 1 species